rnacentral:rRNA from 1 species
GAUGAACGCUGGCGGCGUGCCUAAUACAUGCAAGUCGAGCGGACAGACGCGGCGCUUGCUCCUCUGUCGUUAGCGGCGGGCGGGUGAGUCACACGUGGAUACCCUACCUGUAAGACUGAGAUCACUUCGGGAAACCGGCGCUAAUACCGGAUGAUAUCUUGAACCACGUGGUUCGUUAGUAAGAGACGGCUUUGCUGUAUCUUAUAGCUGCUUCCGAGCGGGAUUAGGUAGUUGGUACGGUAAAGGCUUACCACGGGAAGGAUGCGUGACCGACCUGAGAGGGGGAUAGGCCACAUGGGAAGUGAGACACGGUCCAGACUCCUACGGGAGGCACCAGUAGGGAAUCUUCCGCAAUGGGCGAAAGCAUGACGGAGUAACGGCGCGUGAGUGACGAAGGUCUCCGGAGCGUAAAACUCUGUUAUUAGGUAAGAACAAAUGUGUCAGUAAAUAUGGACGUAUUGACGGUACCUAAUCAGAAAGCAACGGCUAACUACGUG